rnacentral:rRNA from 1 species
UGUACGCCUGGGACAGGACACUCCGGGAACUGGGGCUAAUCCCUGAUAAGUGAGAACUCCUGGAAUGGAUUCUCGCUCAAAGGACGUUUAGACCAUGCUUCUAGGCGUCGCCCAAGGAGGGGGCCGCGACCGAUCAGGUUGUUGGUGAGGUAACGGCUCACCAAGCCUUUAACCGGUACGGGCCGUGAGAGCGGAAGCCCGGAGAUGGGCACUGAGACAAGGGCCCAGGCCCUACGGGGCGCAGCAGUCGCGAAAACUCCGCAAUACACGAAAGUGUGACGGGGCUAUCCCGAGUGCCAUCCGCUGAGGAUGGCUUUUCCCCAGUGUAUAAAGCUGGGGGAAUAAGGAGAGGGCAAGCCUGGUGUCAGCCGCCGCGGUAAUACCAGCUCUCCGAGUGGUGGGGAUGUUUAUUGGGCCUAAAGCAUUCGUAGCCUGCUUGGCAAGUCCUCCGUUAAAUCCAACGAUUCAAUCGUUGGGCUGCGGGGGAUACUGUCCAGCUAGGGGGCGGGAGAGGCCGACGGUAUCCCCGGGGUAGGGGUGAAAUCCUAUAAUCCCGGGAGGACCACCAGUGGCGAAGGCUGUCGGCUAGAACGCGCUCGACGGUGAGGGAUGAAAGCUGGGGGAGCGAACCGGAUUAGAUACCCGGGUAGUCCCAGCUGUAAACGAUGCAGGCUAGGUGUUGGCGCGGCUACGUGCCGCUCCAGUGCCGCAGGGAAGCCGUUAAGCCUGCCGCCUGGGAAGUACGGCCGCAAGGCUGAAACUAAAGGAAUUGGCGGGGAGCACCACAAGUUGAA